CAGUAACAGCCGCGAUUCUACUCCACUCCCUGCGGCAGAUCCCACGCGGCUCCAGCAUUCUACGACCCUGCUCCACCUCCUGCGAUGGAUUCCACAUGGCUCCAUCACUCUUUGGCAGGCCGUAAUAAUGGCCACGGUCCUGCUCCACUUUCUGUGACGGAUACCGCGCGAUUCUCCUAUCCUCUGGCAAGUCGCGACAACGGACGCCGCUCUGCUUCUCGUGGUCGACUCCAUGUGGCACGCCCCGGUAAUGGCCACGGGUCCACCCUACUACUCGCUGCAAUAAACUUUUUCUGACCAC
rnacentral:lncRNA from 1 species